AGUGAACGCUGGCGGUAGGCCUAACACAUGCAAGUCGAACGGCAGCACAGUAAGAGCUUGCUCUUACGGGUGGCGAGUGGCGGACGGGUGAGGAAUACAUCGGAAUCUACUUUUUCGUGGGGGAUAACGUAGGGAAACUUACGCUAAUACCGCAUACGACCUACGGGUGAAAGCAGGGGAUCUUCGGACCUUGCGCGAUUGAAUGAGCCGAUGUCGGAUUAGCUAGUUGGCGGGGUAAAGGCCCACCAAGGCGACGAUCCGUAGCUGGUCUGAGAGGAUGGAUCACCCAACCUGAAACUGGACACGGGUCCGACCCCUCAGGGGGGGCACCGUGGGGAAUUUUUGGCAAUGGGGGCAAACCCGACGCCGCCCAGCCGGGGGGGGGAAGAAGGGCCUUGGGUUUUUAAACCCCUUUUUUGGGGAAAAAAAAGCGGGUGGUUAAUACCCCGCGUUUUGGCGGGUCCCAAAAAAAAAAGCACGGGCAACCUCCCG
rnacentral:rRNA from 1 species